GGGGAAUAUUGGGCAAUGGACGAAAGUCUGACCCAGCAACGCCGCGUGAAGGAAGAAGGCUUUCGGGUUGUAAACUUCUUUUAAGGGGGAAGAGUAGAAGACGGUACCCCUUGAAUAAGCCACGGCUAACUACGUGCCAGCAGCCGCGGUAAUACGUAGGUGGCAAGCGUUGUCCGGAUUUACUGGGUGUAAAGGGCGUGCAGCCGGGAAGGCAAGUCAGAUGUGAAAUCUGGAGGCUCAACCUCCAAACUGCAUUUGAAACUGCUUUUCUUGAGUAUCGGAGAGGUAAUCGGAAUUCCUUGUGUAGCGGUGAAAUGCGUAGAUAUAAGGAAGAACACCAGUGGCGAAGGCGGAUUACUGGACGACAACUGACGGUGAGGCGCGAAAGCGUGGGGAGCAAAC
rnacentral:rRNA from 1 species